GAUGAACGCUGGCGGCGUGCCUAAUACAUGCAAGUCGAGCGAACGGACGAGAAGCUUGCUUCUCUGAUGUUAGCGGCGGACGGGUGAGUAACACGUGGAUAACCUACCUAUAAGACUGGGAUAACUUCGGGAAACCGGAGCUAAUACCGGAUAAUAUUUUGAACCGCAUGGUUCAAAAGUGAAAGACGGUCUUGCUGUCACUUAUAGAUGGAUCCGCGCUGCAUUAGCUAGUUGGUAAGGUAACGGCUUACCAAGGCAACGAUGCAUAGCCGACCUGAGAGGGUGAUCGGCCACACUGGAACUGAGACACGGUCCAGACUCCUACGGGAGGCAGCAGUAGGGAAUCUUCCGCAAUGGGCGAAAGCCUGACGGAGCAGCGCCGCGUGAGUGAUGAAGGUCUUCGGAUCGUAAAACUCUGUUAUUAGGGAAGAACAUAUGUGUAAGUAACUGUGCACAUCUUGACGGUACCUAAUCAGAAAGCCACGGCUAACUACGU
rnacentral:rRNA from 1 species